rnacentral:rRNA from 1 species
UACGUAGGGGGCUAGCGUUGUCCGGAUUUAUUGGGCGUAAAGAGCGUGUAGGCGGCUUGGCAAGUCUGCUGUGAAAACUCGAGGCUCAACCUCGAGCUGUCGGUGGAAACUGCCUGGCUAGAGUCCGGAAGAGGAGAGUGGAAUUCCUGGUGUAGCGGUGAAAUGCGCAGAGAUCGGGAGGAACACCCGUAGCGAAGGCGGCCACUCUGGGCCGGAACUGACGCUGAGACGCGAAAGCGUGGGGAGCGAACAGGAUAGAA